UCUUCUUUGAUCCUUUAAAUAGACUUUAGACUUGACCUCUUUGUUUGUAUGAACACUAUUCAUGUUUUAUUCAUCUUUAAGAAAUUAUUGCCUAUGAAAUGAGAGCAUAAAACAUGCUCACCGUAACGAUGUGAUAGUAUGCAGCUAUUUUAAAAAUUAACUGCAAAUCCUAUUGCUGCCCAUUUCCUCAGUCUUAUACAUAAUCCGACUUAAAGCUAUUUUUGAACAAUGUGUAUCGUUAAUCAGUUUUGGAGGUGAAGAGAAAUGGUUCAUGGUUCCAUUGGUCACUGACAGUUUACAUACUUCCUGAGUUUAUCUGUAUACCAGUUAGAGCAUUAGGAGUGGGAUCCAUGCAGACAGAAUAUUUUAAUAUUAUUUUAAAAUAUUUUUCAGGAUGCGAUGUGAAGUGUAGGAACAGAUGGAUUAGCAGCAAGACACCAUCUGAUGACACAAAGUGAAUGCUGUGUAUCCAAUGACUGCAGAGAAUAAGCCAAAGAAAUAGUGACAGCAAGUGGAAGACCCUCAGGGACAGCAACCACAAGUACAGUAACACCAAUAAUGAAGAAUUUAACAAAAUACUGAACAUAGACAGGAGUGCACUCAGCUGCUAGAACUCUACAGAAUGCGUAGCAGUUCCUUCAACACAGCAGGAGGCCAACAAUAGCACGUGUGAGAAGCCUAUAUAACUUCAUCACUGUACGUUCAGGGACUGCACAUAAAAAGCACUUUUUCUGGGUCAACUAUAUUUCACCUAACAGAGUAAAGAUGAUGCCUGUCUGAGAAUUCACACCCACAGCAGUUACAAGCAUUCUUCCAGAGCCUUCCAUGACGUGCCAGCAGUGAAAAUAAUGCUUCCUGAUACAGAGUGUUGAUCCGUCACCAAAUUUAGACUCACAGAAACAAACUAUGGCUGCCACUCGAAUGGUACCUUCCUUCAGCUGUUCUCAUGUCAAACCUGAACUGUUUUCAUUUCCAACAGAUGACUGACAGACAACAGUGGAAAGCAUCACCCCAAUCAUCUUUUUCUAAAUUAAAAAGUCUAGCUGGAGUGAGCUCACUGAUGCCCUCAAGAGCAAAGAAAAGAGGAAAAACUGACAUCUUCUUCCAGAAGUUUUUGUCUCUUUGUUUAUUUUUCUCUUUUAUUAAAAUAUGGGACUAUGCUAAUAUCCAGCAGGAAUUCAGUUUUUAAACUCAUUGUGAAAUAGUUGUGACACGAUGGCCUUCCACUUUUUUGAUUUCUUAGCUAUUUCCAGACAGUAUAUCAUGCCCAAUACCACUGAUAUUAAAACUUGAAUUACAUCUCAGAAGAAGGUGGUAUUUUGCAUGCCAGAAUCUCAAGUAAUCAAAUCUACUCAUAGGCAAAUAGAGUUCAAGGAUUUUCUAACAAAGCAUGAGUAUAAUUUCAUUAGUAGAAGCAUGGAACAAAAGCUUUUGUAGCUCUUGUUAAAAUAUCACAUUAAUUCUUCAGCAUUUUUGUAAUUACAGUAGAGAAGGAAAUUUUAUAUGAAGAGUACACAUUUUAACAUUGCCAUAAAACCACAAAAACAAACUUCUGUCUUCCUAGCUAGAGCUUUUGGAAACAGGAAAAAAAUAUUUUCUCAACUACUCAACUACUUUCCCUUUCUCUCCUUCCCUUCAUUCUUCUCAGAGCAAUGCAAUUAUGUUUUUUCUGAACUCUAUGGGUAUCCAAAAAGAUAUCACUCCAUUCAGGAAUUUGUGAGAGUACAUUAACCAGAUGGGAAAGAGAAGUCUGCUCAUGAAUAAUGACUUCAGAUGUACUUGAAAAUAUUAUUUCAGAUUCUAAUAUAUUAUCAUGAAACCAGCAGACAGUUAUUUUGUAAUCACAUUCCAGCUGAAAUCUAUAUAAUCUAACUGAUCCAUUUAGAAUUAAAAAACAAAACCAAAACUAUUUCAUUUAACUGAUUAAUUUGUAUUACAGUAUGCAAAAAUUAUGAAUAAUUUGAACAAACCUCAAC